GCCUGGCUGGCUCAGUGGGUAGAGCAUGCAACUCUCAGUCUCAGGAUCGUGAGUUCAAACCUCACGUUGGGCA